GUAGGGAAUAUUGCGCAAUGGGGGAAACCCUGACGCAGCGAUGCCGCGUGAGUGAGGAAGGCCUUCGGGUUGUAAAGCUCUGUCGAUGGGGAAAAAUGGCAGACGGUCGAACAGGCCGUUUGUUUGAUGGUACCCAUAAAGGAAGCACCGGCUAACUUCGUGCCAGCAGCCGCGGUAAUACGAAGGGUGCAAGCGUUGUUCGGAUUUACUGGGCGUAAAGCGCGUGUAGGCGGAUAAAUAAGUCAGGUGUGAAAUCUCGGGGCCUAACCCCGAAACUGCGCCUGAAACUGUUUAUCUAGAAUCUUGGAGAGGGAAGGGGAAUUUCACGUGUAGGGGUAAUAUCCGUAGAGAUGUGAAGGAACACCGGAGGCGAAGGCGCCUUCCUGGACAAGUAUUGACGCUGAGACGCGAAAGCGUGGGGAUCAAACAGGAUUAGAUACCCUAGUAGUCC
rnacentral:rRNA from 1 species